rnacentral:rRNA from 1 species
GAUCCUGGCUCAGGAUGAACGCUAGCUACAGGCUUAACACAUGCAAGUCGAGGGGCAGCAUGAACUUAGCUUGCUAAGUUGAUGGCGACCGGCGCACGGGUGAGUAACACGUAUCCAACCUGCCGAUGACUCGGGGAUAGCCUUUCGAAAGAAAGAUUAAUACCUGAUGGCAUAGUUCUUCCGCAUGGUAGAACUAUUAAAGAAUUUCGGUCAUCGAUGGGGAUGCGUUCCAUUAGGUUGUUGGCGGGGUAACGGCCCACCAAGCCUUCGAUGGAUAGGGGUUCUGAGAGGAAGGUCCCCCACAUUGGAACUGAGACACGGUCCAAACUCCUACGGGAGGCAGCAGUGAGGAAUAUUGGUCAAUGGACGAGAGUCUGAACCAGCCAAGUAGCGUGAAGGAUGACUGCCCUAUGGGUUGUAAACUUCUUUUAUACGGGAAUAAAGUGAGGCACGCGUGCCUUUUUGUAUGUACCGUAUGAAUAAGGAUCGGCUAACUCCGUG